UUUACACAUUAUUUUCCACUUUUCACUUUUAAUAAUGCAGUCAGCCUGCUGAUAAGCGACUCGCGACACCGACCCGCCGUUUUUUCCACUCAGUUUCGUUCGGACUCGCGAUCUUCGCGCUUUGCAGGUUAUGUUCACGCGUCUUGUGCUCGCUUGAAGUCUCGUGCUCGUACCCAGUGCUGUGAGCUCUGUGCGUGUGUGUCUGUGUCAACCGUCUUUGGUGCAAGUGUAAAUUUUUUGUAUAUAAGCUACCACGCUUAAACAACACAGCAACAUGAAUCCCGCAAGAAUUUUAUUUGUCACCCUUAGCUGCUUCCUAUACAUCUGUCUAGUCACAGCCCAAGGGUUCUUCGACACAUUCGGAGGACCAUCAUUCAGAGGAGAAGAAUUGAGCAGGACUCAGUCCAGGGAUCCACGAGAAAACCGAGGACCAGUUCUUUUCCCUCCCUCUGCCAUGGCCAUCGGACCCGAAACUAGCGGUGUCGUAGUUGGAGCUUCCGGAUUUGGAUUCGUCCCUCCCGGACAACAAAAAGCCUAGAUUAAGCAGACCCUGCCUUUUUGAAACUAUCUAGAUCUACUUUUUUCAUCAUAAUUGAAGAUUUUUUUCCACAUCAUAUCAAAAGAUUUUAGCAGCCUCUUCAACCUACGUAUCAUCUUAUGAGAUUAAUGGGAUUGUGAUUCGGACAUGCUCGCGGUGGUCCAAACUUCUUCGAUAUGUUCGGCUUCCGCAGGCGAUGAUCAACGCCACAGCUCUUUUUCUGAUCCUCAUCUCAGUCAGAAUCUCAAAACCUACUCUCUUCCACUUCCUAAAAUAAUCCUCCUCUCCGUAUUAUUAAAUUAGCCAUAAAUAUGGAUACCAGAAAGUAUUAAUGGUUUGUAGAAAGUGUAAAUCUAUAUAUGAUAGGAACUCAAGUGCGAUAUUGUGUAGUUGUUAGUUACUCCAAUCUAAGGAUCCUAGAUUAGUUGUUCCUGUACAUAACCUAUUGUAUUUAUUUAUUUGUUGCUUAGGUUCUCAUUUGUAAUAUUUGGUUUGUGUAUAUUAAUUAGGUCGUUGAAGCGCUUCUCUUCAUCAUACGAUGAGUAUUUAUUUUAUUUAUGAGCGUUAUUUAUUUGAAAACUUGUUUUUGAUUGAGUUUAAUAAAAAUUGACUCGAACUGUA